UACGUAGGGUGCAAGCGUUAAUCGGAAUUACUGGGCGUAAAGCGUGCGCAGGCGGUGAUGUAAGACCGAUGUGAAAUCCCCGGGCUUAACCUGGGAACUGCAUUGGUGACUGCAUUGCUAGAGUAUGGCAGAGGGGGGUGGAAUUCCACGUGUAGCAGUGAAAUGACGUAGAGAUGUGGAGGAACACCGAUGGCGAAGGCAGCCCCCUGGGCCAAUACUGGACGCUCAUGCACGAAAGCGUGGGGAGCAAA
rnacentral:rRNA from 1 species